GAUGGACAAGGAUUGUUGGGCGAGGGAGCAGCUCCCCUUUCCCAGACACCAAAGCCCCAUCUGCCAGAAGGAAAAAGUGUUCUAAUGGGGGGAAAUGCCUAUCCUAUGGACAGCGCUGAGUCGGCUGGGGACUCCUGUAAUCCCAGCUCCAAAGAGGACUUUUCAAGGACUCAGAGUAGGAGCAUACAUCAACUCCAGCUUGCUGGCUUUACAGAGGAGGAAACUAAGGCUUAAAAACAUCUCAUGGACCGAAGACCAGAACACAGUUCCCUUGACUGUCAAUUCCUGAACAACAAGAAAAACGACAGAAACACUGGGUUAUCAAAGUUCAAGAUGGGGCCGAUAGAGGGGGUGGUAGAGGGCAGGAACCGAUGAGAGAGCCAUCCUGCUGACUGGCUUGAAUCACUGUAUAGGGGGCAGCAUUUCACCGCUCUAACAGCCUCCCUGGGAUGGGGUUGGGGGGGGGGGGCAGUCCCAGUCUCCCCUUCCUUGCUCCUCAGACUUCUACUCUGAAAUUCAAGGAACUGAAAAUGAAUCUGCUUCCCAGAGAGACAAUAUAAGUUAAAGUGCAAAGUCAGUUCCAGAAAAACAGGUAAAGUCCAACCUAAGGGAAAUCACAGUGGGCCAGCAGUGUUUACGCACAUUACCCAUGCAUGCCACAUAUGUGUGAACCUCCACACAGCCCUUCUUUCUCUUCAGAAGUUGGCCUUGACACAGAUGCACGCGACAGCUUUUCAGAGGGAAGUCACAAAGCACACUACACACUGGCUAUUGAGAGCGCUAACUAUGAAACAGGAUUCGAAGAAACUCUACAAAGCUUUGAGAUUGCCUCAUCAGUGUACUUUGUAGAAUGGGGAAUCUCGUAGUUUGACAUCCCGAUUUCUUCCCAAUUCUUCCUCUGACUUUGUAAAUAGGAAUUUGGAGAAGUCAUCCUCUACUGGAAAUAAAACAACAACAUCAAUGGCCUUUGUAAUAGUGAGUUGGCCAGAAAAAUCAAGAAGCUCAUUUAAAAAUCAGAAAACAUUCACCAAGUUAUUUUCACUUCAACUGUAAUUUUUGCCGUUGUGUGUCUUAGUCCAGUAUCUUAAUGUUGGUAUUUAAUUCUGUUCUAUUCUUCAAGCCUGCAUGGGUUGCUUGUAGCAGAUUUGAUCAUUUGAUGGUCCAUAAUUAUUAACCCCCUUUUACCUACCACUUUUCCCUCUAGCUUUG